GGAUGCGAUCAUACCAACACUAACGCACCGGAUCCCAUUAGAACUCCGAAGUCAAGCGUGCUUGGGCGUGAGUAGUACUAGGAUGGGUAACCCCCUGGGGAGUCCUCGUGUUGCUUUCC
rfam:Nicotiana sylvestris Nsyl_contig33635, whole genome shotgun sequence.